rnacentral:rRNA from 1 species
GACAGAGGUGCCGAGCGUUAGGCGGAAUCACUGGGCUUAAAGCGUGUGUAGGCGGACCGUUAAGUACCUUGUGAAAUCCCACGGCUCAACCGUGGAACGGCUGGGUAUACUGGCGGUCUUGGGCCACCUAGGGGUCAUCGGAACAGGCGGUGGAGCGGUGAAAUGCGUAGAUAUCGCCUGGAACGCCGACGGUGAAAACAGAUGACUGGGGGUGUGCCGACGCUGAGACACGAAAGCCAGGGGAGCGAACGGG